rnacentral:tRNA from 2 species
GCCCAGGUGGCGAAACUGGUAGACGCACCAGCUUGAGGGGCUGGCGUUCGCAAGAAUGUGCAAGUUCGAAUCUUGUCCUGGGCA